AAUAGAUACCCUGGUAGUCCUAGCUAUAAACGAUGCAUACUAGGUGUAGGAGGGCUCAACCCUUUCUGUACCGGAGCUAACGCAUUAAGUAUGCCGCCUGGGGAGUACGCUCGCAAGGGUGAAACUCAAAAGAAUUGACGGGGGCCCGCACAAGCAGUGGAGCAUGUGGUUUAAUUCGAUGCAACGCGAAGAACCUUACCUGGGCUCGAAAUGCAGGGCGCGACACUAGAGAUAGUGUUUUCCGUAAGGAGUUUGUAUAGGUGCUGCAUGGCUGUCGUCAGCUCGUGCCGUGAGGUGUUUGGUUAAGUCCAGCAACGAGCGCAACCCUUAUCGUUAGUUACCAGCGCGUAAUGGCGGGAACUCUAGCGAGACUGCCUAGGUUAACUAGGAGGAAGGUGAGGAUGACGUCAAGUCCGCAUGGCCUUUAUGUCCAGGGCUACACACGUGCUACAAUGGUCGAUACAGAAGGCAGCGAAACCGUGAGGUGAAGCAAAUCCUGAAAAGUCGAUCUCAGUUCAG
rnacentral:rRNA from 1 species